UUAGCUUUUGUUUAAAUCCGAUAAUCUGGAUUAACAAUAGAGAAUUCCCUGAUUAUUAUCUCAGAAUAAUAGUUCAUGCAUACGAGAUUCAUGCAUAGUUAAAUUACGCAUUCUCAUUUAAUUGAGAAUUUUUCCUCGAUUUAAAGUCUUACGUUAUUUUCUCGGAUUAAAGGUCGAGAGCAAGAAUAAGAGCUCGUCAAGGAGUCAUUAAUCUGUAGUAAAGCUUUGCUAUCAGGUUGAGCAGUUGCCGAUGGUGAUGAAGUGACGAGCGGGUUUCUUUUGUCUUAUUAUGUAUUAAUGAACUCUAGGGAUACAUGUCUUCAUACAUGUAUUCAGAACCUUAUUCCGCUGCGUACUCAGAAGUUUUAUGUUAUUUUGGCUAAGUCGGAGUUAUCCGAACUUACUAGUUAUUUGAGUCUAUAUGACUAAACCUCCGUUAUAUUAUAAAUAUCCCUUUUGUUAACAAUAAUGAAA